CACAGCCUUUUGCUAGGAUGUAGAUUCCUCCCUAUUUAAUUCAAUGACAUUUGUUUCUAUAAAUUUAAUAUAGACUACAGACUUUUGAGAACGUAUCCCAAGACACAUGAUUACCAGCACCUGGUGUUCAACCUCCUCCUGCCCUGACUGAAAGUCUCCCACCAGGAAAUGACAAAGGCUGCCAGCCUAUUCAUUCUUGAGGAAUUUGAUGUCUCUCAACUGUUAUGUGCAAGUUGGGAAAUAAACUUCCUGCCACUGAAACUCUUCAAUGAGCAAAUACAAGUUUGUUCUUUGUAUUAACAAUGAGAAAAUGAUUUUCUUAAAACCAAACAAAGUAUUGUCUGGACAAAUGUCGGUGUGUUGGAUUAUGUUCCUAAACCAUCAAACAGUAGAUGUACUUCACGUUGCAGUUUUUCAAAGAUCCAUUGAGGAUUCAAGAAAGCCUGCAGGAACUCAAUCCCAGAGGAAAAAGAAUGAAUUUUAAAAGCUCAUCCUACUGAUGUUUCAGACCAGUUGAUUGUGAGGUGCCUAAAGGCAUGCAGGAGAGAAAGCUGUCCAGGCAGAUUAAAACACAGGCCUCAAGGCUCCAGAGGGAGGCACGUAGUUGAGCACCCCAUGGCUCCACAGUAAAAGAGAGCAGAAUCAACCACACUCUGUCUGGACCACCGGGACUCAGAAUUCCUCACUCAAAACCAGACAAUCUGGGAAGGCUCCUGCAAAGUUUCAUGGUUAAUGACUGACAAGCACAUUAACAUUUAUACACAGAAUUCUGUGACCCUUGGCAGACCCUUCACAAGGGUUUUGCCGGUUCAGAUCCUGGGCAUGGACAUGGCACCGCUCAUCAAGCCAUGCUGAGGCGGCAUCCCACAUAGCACAACAAGAAGGACCUACAGCUAGAAUGUACAACUAUGCACUGGGGGGUCUUG
rnacentral:lncRNA from 1 species